rnacentral:misc_RNA from 1 species
UUUCCGUAGGUGAACCUGCGGAAGGAUCAUUAAUGAGUUGUCAUGGGGUUCGAUGCUGGCAGCCAAUUUUUGGAUGCAUGUGCUUGCCCUAACAAUCGUCUUCCAAACACCUGUGCACAUUUUUGAGGGAGUCUUGAGUUGGUUGCCGCUCUUGGGUGAUUUUCUCACAUUCCCUUAAAUCAUUAUACGCUAUUAACAAUGUUGAACGUGCUCUGUGCCGCAAGGCUAUUAAUAUAAUACAACUUUUAACAACGGAUCUCUUGGCUCUC